rnacentral:rRNA from 1 species
CAAUAGCGUAUAUUAAAGUUGUUGCAGUUAAAAAGCUCGUAGUUGGAUCUGUGGUGUGCGGUGGGCUCCGGGCACUUGUUGUCUGAGUAGCUCGCCGCUGCCCUCCUUGGGUGGAACCUGUGUGGCAUUAGGUUGUCGUGCAGGGGAUGCCCAUCGUUUACUGUGAAAAAAUUAGAGUGUUCAAAGCAGGCUUAUGCCGUUGAAUAUAUUAGCAUGGAAUAAUGAGAUAGGACUUUUUCGCUAUUUUGUUGGUUUGCGCGAAGAGGUAAUGAUUAAUAGGGACAGUUGGGGGUAUUCGUAUUCCAUUGUCAGAGGUGAAAUUCUUGGAUUUUUGGAAGACGAACUACUGCGAAAGCAUUUACCAAGGAUGUUUUCAUUAA